rnacentral:tRNA from 1 species
GGAGAGAUGGCAGAGUGGUUGAAUGCGUCGCUCUUGAAAAGCGAUGUCCCGUCUAACGGGACCGGGGGUUCGAAUCCCUCUCUCUCCGCCA